GUCUUUUCCAUAGAGGUUGUAUUUUCCAGCGAUGUAAUUCAUGAUAGCCCUCGACUGCACAAGCUGCAUCCCAUCUAUUUCAACCAAAGGCACCUGCUGAAACAUCAGGGCUCCAUCUACAGUAAACAUAGGAAUCACAUUAAUAUAUAGGUUCAUAAAACAAGAAGAGAUGAUUGAUGAGGAAUUUAAUGAAUAGUUAACAUACCAUCUAGCAAUUUAACAUAAUGCUCCCUUUUGGUCAUAAACACCUCCUCAAACUGUGAACACAACACCAAAAUAAAGUCAAGACGUGGAAAAUUUACUAGACUUUAUGCAACAAACCUCGACUCCAGCUGCAGGCCAAAAGCCAUCGGAUCGACUCCAUUUUCCCUCUUCCAUUGAAGUAAUGCAGCACAACUUUCCCAGACAUUUUCACAAAAUAAAGUGACACUUCAAAACUCUUUGCUGUGCAGCAGUGUGUGAGCUAUGCAGGUUUUUUUUUUUUUUUUUAGUUUUAUUUUAUGUUGACUAUUCAUGGUGUUGCAUAAUUUGUGGGUGGUGCUAAAUGGGCAUGAUCAGGACAAAGGGCACAAACUUACACCCACUGUCCUACUAACACGCACGUCUACACAAUAUCUUGUGAAUACAAAUGCUGAUAUCAAUAACCCCAGUCGAGGUAUUAAGUAAAUAACACAUAAUUCCACCGUUUCAUGGAUCAGUUUUCUACAGCUCAAGCUUUUCAGAUAAGCAUCUGCUGAUCAAAUGAAUGAAAAAUAAAGUAAAAAUGCUUGAGCACCAAUGGUAAAACGUUCAUUUGUGCAUGUAUACUUUAUGACAUUAAACAGCACUAUUGCAAGCCGUUUUAUAACUUUAUGCCCCAGGCACUUCUCAUAUGAUUAAAUUAUAUCCAUGGCUCAUCAAAAUACAACUGUAACUAUCUAAAAUAUAAUUUGUAUGGUCAAACCAAAGCAUUACAUGAAAAUUACGCAUGCCAAAAUAUGUGCACAAUUUGUUUAAUUUAUAAACUAAUGCUGCGUUCCAGAUGAGCAUGGACCUGGGAAUAUGUCAAAUUAAAUGUCCCACUUCAGACCUUUCAGUUCCAGUAAUCACACAUCACGUUCACAUUAUGUCAAAUGACAUGUCUCGCUGUGGUCGAGGUUGAUAGAUAUACCCUGAGUUUACACGCUGAAUGUCAGACUUUGACUGGUGUUCCAGAUGUUAUUUCCUAGAAGGAACGCACACUGUAAAAAGUAAUACGCUCUAUCUACUCAAUAAAAUUGUAGCAACAGAUUACAAGCAAUAUUAUUAAUUAAAUUCAACAUAUAAAAAUUGAGUUAGAAUUAAUCAAAUUAAUUCCUUAAAAGUCAACCAUUUAAAAUGUGUAAAAUUAGCAAACACAAUUACAAAACCCCACAAACUGACAUAAAAAGCAGAGUCAAACUGGCCAACUAAAUAAAACACUGAUCACCAUGAUAGUGACAUUUUCAAUAAAAUCAACAUCUAAACCUUUGUUAAUUCUUGUGUUUCUCUUUGCUUCAGUGAUUCUGCUUGUUAUCAUCAAUGUUGGCAAUAAAAAAUAAAGAGUUCUUAAUUCAUCUUUGACGUCUGUCUGUUAUUCAGAUAUUUUUGUUUAAAUUUUACUCGUUUUAAAUGGUUGACAUCUAAGGAAUUCAUUUGAUUAAUUCUAACUCAGUUCUAUUUGUUGAAUUUAAUUAAUAAUAUUGCUUGUAAUCUAUUGCCAAAAUUUUAUGGAGUAGAUAUAACGUAUUACUUUUUACAGUGCAGCAUAACAUCACAGAAACUACGAAUAUCCACUUUUAUGCUUAGUCAUCGUGAUUUUCAGUUUACGUAAUCCUUAAGUACGGCAAUAGCAGUGCUGUGUGUUUGCAUAGCAGCUAAGCAUUCUGGGAAAUACAGACUGUCUUAGUUUAAAAAAAAAGUAUAAUAAACAAAUAAGCAGAAUUUGUAUUCAUAUUGUGUUUUAUACAUACAUAUUUGAUGCAGCCUGAAGCCGGUCGUGUCUGCUGUAUAUAUACUGUGUGAAAGUGUGCUUGCUUUUGGAUGCAAUAAUAACCAACUGCAGAACCACAGAGCCACACGUCACAGCAAUUUGAUGACAGCAGCGCUAGGCCAGCAGUCUCAGACCGGUGUUAUGGUGGAGCUUAUAGUGUCAUUAAGGGCAGGUUUAGUGGUGGGGUGGGCUUAAGGUAGAGGUUAUAGUGAAGGGUGAGGUUAGUGGUUUUGCCGGGAUAUGUGAUCGUCAGCACCACCCUAACUUUCCUCAAACUGCUGUGACGUGUGGUUCUGCAGUUAGAUAUAUCUCUGCGGAUGUGAGGGCGAUCUGGCUGCGAAAUUUGUCACCCCAUUGAUUGUUGGGUUGAUUCGGCUGAUCUGGCUGGCUAGGCAGGUGUCCCCUUCCUCCUUCACCGCUCCAUAUGUGUCCCUCCCGAAGCUCCGCGCUCGGUUGAAGAGGACGUGUUCUCCCGGGGGACGAGCAUCGUUGGUAUAGAAGUAGCUGCACUCCCCUGCUAGAACCUCCAAACAAGCUUAAGGCCCAUUUGUAGGAGAAAUGUAGGGAAGUCGAGCUCCAAGACUUCAAGCACAUCCAAAUGAGGCACUGCAUGUGGCAGUCUGCCUUUCUUUUGUGAAAAUACGUAAUGUACCACUUUGCUUACAUUUCUUACCACUUUGCUUACAUUACUUAAGUUUUGUUUACCUAUUGUUUAUUCCUUUCAUAUUUGGUAUCAUUUUAAAUGUCUCGGUGCGAUUGGUAAAAUGGUCUCAAUUUCACAGCAGUCACUGGUAUUAUGAAGAAGAUUGAAAACUAAGGAGAAUUCUGUCCUCCUUUCUCCCCCCAAAACAAGUGUUGGUGUAAUAAAUAUUUACAACCCUUUUGUUCUGGUCUGUAUAUAAGGUAAAGUGCAAAGCAGUCGGGGGGGAUCAUCUGUGGCCAUAAGCCUCCGUGCAGAGAUGGGUGAAUGUCUGAAGACAUUCACACAUCACUCUGUGUAUAUUUCUUUGAGUAAUUGAUGUUAUGCAUUUAUUAUUUCUGAAUUGGCUUCUAAUUGUCUAACUGUAAUGUAAUUGGCAUGAUACAUUUUUACUUGACAAAUAAAAUGUUAUAUUUGGUUUA